UGUAAAAAAGUGUAAGAAGCACAUAAAUUUUUGAUAUUUAUAGGUAAGUUUAAUUCUUAAUUUUACAA
rnacentral:tRNA from 1 species